GACGAACGCUGGCGGCGUGCUUAACACAUGCCAGUCGAACGGAAAGGCCCUGCUUUUGUGGGGUGCUCGAGUGGCGAACGGGUGAGUAACACGUGAGUAACCUGCCCUUGACUUUGGGAUAACUUCAGGAAACUGGGGCUAAUACCGGAUAGGAGCUCCUGCUGCAUGGUGGGGGUUGGAAAGUUUCGGCGGUUGGGGAUGGACUCGCGGCUUAUCAGCUUGUUGGCGGGGUAGUGGCUUACCAAGGCUUUGACGGGUAGCCGGCCUGAGAGGGUGACCGGCCACAUUGGGACUGAGAUACGGCCCAGACUCCUACGGGAGGCAGCAGUGGGGAAUAUUGCACAACGGGCGGAAGCCUGAUGCAGCAACGCCGCGUGCGGGAUGACGGCCUUCGGGUUGUAAACCGCUUUCGCCUGUGACGAAGCGUGAGUGACGGUAAUGGGUAAAGAAGCACCGGCUAACUACGUG
rnacentral:rRNA from 1 species